rnacentral:rRNA from 1 species
UACAGAGGGUGCAAGCGUUAAUCGGAAUUACUGGGCGUAAAGCGUGCGUAGACGGUUAUGUAAGUCGGGUGUGAAAGCCCCGGGCUCAACCUGGGAAUUGCAUUCGAGACUGUGUAGCUAGGGUACGGAAGAGGGAAGCGGAAUUUCAGGUGUAGCGGUGAAAUGCGUAGAUAUCUGAAGGAACACCAGUGGCGAAGGCGGCUCGCUGGACCGGUUCUGACGCUGAUGCGCGAAAGCGUGGGGAGCAAACGGG